AAAUAAAUAUAGUUUUACUUACUAGUCUUUAACUAGAAUGAAAGUACGGCUUUGUGUGGAGGUUCCGGUCGCAGACACCCAUGAUCUUUGACCGUGAGGAACUGAUUCAUCAACACCGAAGCUCUUCCCGUCCACAACACAGAUCUGAGGCGUCUGAGGAUUGAGGAGUAAUAUCAGACACCGUCUGUAUCCCCAUCAUCCAGACCUAGCAGCAGAAGUGGAUCUGUAACGGGUCCAGAUCAGGAUUUAAUGACGAUCAGCUGAUCUCUCGUAGACGCUGUGCUGGUUUCCAUUGGUAACGGGCACGCGCACAGAUUUCACCGUAACCCGUCCGUUUCCGCUGCUGGGGACCAGACAUGACUUCAAAACAGAAGAAGGGGCUCAGAGGCUCUAUAGAUGACGUGUUAGGAGAUCUGCUGGGUGAUGAAGAUGAUGAUGAAGGUCCAGUGAAGGUGCGCUCACCUGCAGUCGUGUCCAGCAGAGCCACAGCCGUCCCCCCGACCCGCAGCGGGAAGAGGUGAGCUCU